UGGGGAAUUUUGGACAAUGGGCGCAAGCCUGAUCCAGCCAUGCCGCGUGUCUGAAGAAGGCCUUCGGGUUGUAAAGGACUUUUGUCAGGGAAGAAAAGGGCGGGGUUAAUACCCCUGUCUGAUGACGGUACCUGAAGAAUAAGCACCGGCUAACUACGUGCCAGCAGCCGCGGUAAUACGUAGGGUGCGGGCGUUAAUCGGAAUUACUGGGCGUAAAGCGGGCGCAGACGGUUACUUAAGCAGGAUGUGAAAUCCCCGGGCUCAACCUGGGAACUGCGUUCUGAACUGGGUGACUAGAGUGUGUCAGAGGGAGGUAGAAUUCCACGUGUAGCAGUGAAAUGCGUAGAGAUGUGGAGGAAUACCGAUGGCGAAGGCAGCCUCCUGGGAUAACACUGACGUUCAUGCCCGAAAGCGUGGGUAGCAAACA
rnacentral:rRNA from 1 species